rnacentral:rRNA from 1 species
AUACGGAGGGGGCUGGCGUUGUUCGGAAUUACUGGGCGUAAAGCGCGCGUAGGCGGAUUGAUCAGUCAGGGGUGAAAUCCCGAGGCUUAACCUCGGAACUGCCUCUGAUACUGUCAAUCUUGAGUUCGAGAGAGGUGAGUGGAAUUCCUAGUGUAGAGGUGAAAUUCGUAGAUAUUAGGAAGAACACCAGUGGCGAAGGCGGCUCACUGGCUCGAUACUGACGCUGAGGUGCGAAAGCGUGGGGAGCAAACAGGAUUAGAAACCCUAGUAGUCC